UACGUAGGGGGCAAGCGUUGUCCGGAAUCAUUGGGCGUAAAGAGCGUGUAGGCGGCCAGAUAAGUCCGCUGUGAAAUCUCGAGGCUCAACUUCGAGCUGUCGGUGGAAACUGUCUGGCUAGAGUCCGGAAGAGGAGAAUGGAAUUCCUGGUGUAGCGGUGAAAUGCGCAGAUAUCAGGAAGAACACCCGUGGCGAAGGCGGUUCUCUGGGACGGUACUGACGCUGAGGCGCGAAAGCUAGGGUAGCAAACGGG
rnacentral:rRNA from 1 species